ensembl:lncRNA
GAAUGUUCUUCCAGUUUAGUAAAACUGAGUGAAAAGAUGGGCUGAAAGAAUGACAAUCAAAGUUAUGAGUAAAUAACUCUGCUUUUGCAACUAUACUAAACUGAUCACUUUUCAUUGCUCACAAAGUUUUGUAACUAUAAUUGUGUAGCAUUUUGACAACAAACAAAUUUUCUAAACAAAUCCUAUUUUGAUACUCAUUAAAUCCAUCUUCACGUAUGUAUAUUUUUAAAUCACUUAACUAAUAAGGUCCAUGAAGUGAUAUGGCACACACUUGGUAUUUUGAGUUUUUUAUUAAAUACUGUAUAACGAUGAAUGCAAAAAAAAAUCUAUAGACUUAUCAUUCCUCAAACUACAGAAUUGAAGCAUCUCAUUAACCCCCACAUGUUACAUAGGAGUUCCAUCGCCAUUGGUUUCAAUCACUUCUACCACAGUUUUCAGUGGCUGGUAUGAAACCAAUCACAUACAUUUCUCAGUUGGUAUUUGACAUUCCUGUAGCUUCUACUUAAAUGAAUGGCUGUCAAGGUUAGAACGGCUUAACAUAGUUUUAUCGGUUUUUGUGUGUAUUAAUGCCUUAACGUUCAGAAGUGUAACAUGAUUUAAUAUGGUUCCCUUUCUUUACAAUUACUGUUAGUUGCAAAUGUACAUUAUUAUAUUACUCAUCUCAAGGAGUCUAGUGCCUCUGCGUAAACUUAGCGUUGUUCUCGCUGGUUUAUGUUUGUUGAGGAUGCUCAAAUUCCAAUUAGGAGCUGUGACGACUACUGACUGGCCUACUUGGUAAUAUAUUUAUGUGUGAAUUUCUCCAACUUGUCUGUAAGAUCAUUUUUCACACUUGUACGCUAAAUCAUUUAUGCAUCAGUAUUGUCAAGUUUGUCAUAGUUUACCAUUUUUCUGAAGAGUCCAAACCCCCCUGGAUUUUUGAAUUUCCACUGGUUAUUAAAAAAAUAAAUUUUGCAGAUUUUCGAUAUUUUUUGCAAAUACAGUUUUUCUAAAAUGUAAGUUUUUUUUUUGUGUUGUCAUGCCCUGUCAUUGUGUAUUGUGUGACCAUUGAUGUCAACCAUUUCAAAAGUUGUUACAGCAAUAGCCUUUGUCUCCUCAGAUGGUGCUCAUUGCUAAAACACUAAAGAGCCAGUGUCAGCCAGUCUGCUAUAUCCAAAAACAUCCUGCAAUACUGUAAUAGUAAAUAGAUGGCUGUGGCUUUAUCAGUGACUGCAAAAAGGAAAAUAAAGAAGGGAAAGGGGA